GGUAGAAUGAAUUUGAACACACCUACAAUAUUUUGUUUUCGUUACAACGAAAGUGGGCGUGGUUUCCGGACAGACAUUGAAACUCGUUUAAAUGUUUCUUAAAUAGCAUCAAAUACACGGGAAAGGCCGUCGAGGACAUGCGUCGAUAGAUAGUGAUACAAACAUUAAACGAUCUACGUGUUUAACCAGAAAUCCGUGGAAAAUCAUAUUCGUCGAAUCUGCCGCCGUUCGACAUCUGCUGUGAAAUCGGGUGUUUAUGAAACUCGUCUGCGAAUUGAAGUAAAACGACCUGUCUGAGUGUAUGUCCCCAUAUGCUGUGCCCUGUACGUAAAGCAGCUAUGGCUAUAUGGUUAAAACGGUGAAUGAGGCGAAUGCUUUAGCUGGUGUAACCGGUCCCACUUGCACCGCUCUGCGCGGGCCUCAAACCGGCGACGGUCCGGAUGGGAGACGGGCGCUCUAACGAGGAGGCUAAAGACCGCAGUCUCUAGCGUCUGUCGCUAGAGCGUCUCUGUUGGUCGGGGAGUGAGGUUUACACACUGCACAGCUCUUCACUAGCUGGCCUCCGUUACACUGGGUCCUGAUGAAAUGUAACCAUGGCGAGGACAUAUGUUUGUUAUUUGUAAUGGUUUGUUUGAUAACUUACCUUAUGUUUAUAACAGCUCUAAAUUUCUUACAAUCUUUGCAAUUAUACAAAUUAUUUUUUAUAAAAUUAGAUUGUUCACCUGUUCAGUUACCAACUUUCUUCAAAAUAUCUUUUGUGUUCUGCAGAAGAAAGAAAGUCACUCAAGUUUAAAAUGACAAGAGGAUGAGUAAAUAAAUAAUGACAUAAUUUUAGUUUUUGGGUUAACUUAACGAUCACGUUAAAGUAUUAGUUUCUUUGUAUUAGUUUCAAAGUAUUAGAAAUCAUUGUAUCUGAAAUUUAAGCCACUGCAUUCAUUGUGUCUGUGACAUCUGUCAUUGGACGUAUGGGAAUACUUUGACUUCAGUAAUCUCACUGGUGCUCUUCAGGCUAUGAGAAAUAUUGCUGGUGCGGGAUUUAUUUUAUGGUUAUGGCAUAUUUACAAUUCAAUGUUUUAUUUAAGGUACUUUAAAAUAGCAUGUAAUAUAGUAAUAUAUAAUUUUAAAUUUAAAUGACCAUGAAACUUGCAUUCACACAUUUGACUAAAGACUAUAUAGCCAUUAAGUGAAAAACUAUAAUAGUGUACUAUAUGAGAUCAAAAGCUCUAAAUGUACUGUGCAGUACCUUACUUUUCAUGAUUGUUAAGGUUUCCAACACAAAUAAAAUAUUCUUUCUGCAAAUAUUCUUUCUGUUUUGCUU